AUAAGUAAUGUGAAUUGCAGAAUUCAGUGAAUCAUCGAAUCUUUGAACGCACCUUGCGCCCCUUGGUAUUCCGAGGGGCACGCCUGUUCGAGUGUCGUGA
rnacentral:rRNA from 1 species